rnacentral:rRNA from 1 species
GACGAACGCUGGCGGCGCGCCUAAUACAUGCAAGUAGAACGCUGAAGCUUGGUGCUUGCACCGAGCGGAUGAGUUGCGAACGGGUGAGUAACGCGUAGGUAACCUGCCUGGUAGCGGGGGAUAACUAUUGGAAACGAUAGCUAAUACCGCAUAAGAGUAGAUAUCGCAUGAUAGCUGCUUGAAAGGUGCAAUUGCACCACUACCAGAUGGACCUGCGUUGUAUUAGCUAGUUGGUGAGGUAACGGCUCACCAAGGCAACGAUACAUAGCCGACCUGAGAGGGUGAUCGGCCACACUGGGACUGAGACACGGCCCAGACUCCUACGGGAGGCAGCAGUAGGGAAUCUUCGGCAAUGGACGAAAGUCUGACCGAGCAACGCCGCGUGAGUGAAGAAGGUUUUCGGAUCGUAAAGCUCUGUUGUAAGAGAAGAACGAGUGUGAGAGUGGAAAGUUCACACUGUGACGGUAUCUUACCAGAAAGGGACGGCUAACUACGUGCCAGCAGCCGCGGUAAUACGUAGGUCCCGAGCGUUGUCCGGAUUUAUUGGGCGUAAAGCGAGCGCAGGCGGUUAGAUAAGUCUGAAGUUAAAGGCUGUGGCUUAACCAUAGUACGCUUUGGAAACUGUUUAACUUGAGUGCAAGAGGGGAGAGUGGAAUUCCAUGUGUAGCGGUGAAAUGCGUAGAUAUAUGGAGGAACACCGGUGGCGAAAGCGGCUCUCUGGCUUGUAACUGACGCUGAGGCUCGAAAGCGUGGGGAGCAAACAGG